rnacentral:rRNA from 1 species
AAUAGAUACCCGGGUAGUCCACGCCCUAAACGAUGCAUAUUUGGUGUGGGCAGUUCAGUCUGUCCGUGCCGGAGCUAACGCGUUAAAUAUGCCGCCUGGGGAGUACAGUCGCAAGGCUGAAACUCAAAGGAAUUGACGGGGGCCCGCACAAGCGGUGGAGCAUGUGGUUCAAUUCGACGCAACGCGAAGAACCUUACCUGGGCUCGAACGGCUGGUCAACGGCGGUGGAAACACCGCUACCCCGCAAGGGGGUCCAGUCGAGGUGCUGCAUGGCUGUCGUCAGCUCGUGUCGUGAGAUGUUGGGUUAAGUCCCGCAACGAGCGCAACCCUUGUCCUGUGUUGCCAUCAUUCAGUUGGGAACUCGCAGGAGACCGCCAGGGAUAACCUGGAGGAAGGUGGGGAUGACGUCAAGUCCUCAUGGCCUUUAUGUCCAGGGCUACACACGUGCUACAAUGGACGGUACAAACCGCAGCGAACCCGCGAGGGGGAGCCAAUCGGAAAAAACCGUUCUCAGUUCGGAUUGCAGG